GCUGGCGGCGUGCAUGAGACAUGCAAGUCGAACGGACGAUCAGGGCUUGCCUUGAUCGUUAGUGGCGGACGGCUGAGUAACGCGUAGGUGACCUGUCCCGAAGUGGGGAAUAACUGCCCGAAAGGGUGGCUAAUACCGCAUGUGGUGGUGUGUUCGAUCACACCAGUAAAGCCGCAAGGCGCUUCGGGAGGGGCCUGCGUCCGAUUAGCUCGUUGGUGGGGUAACGGCUCACCAAGGCGACGAUCGGUAGGUGGUCUGAGAGGACGAUCACCCAGACUGGGACUGAGACACGGCCCAGACUCCUACGGGAGGCAGCAGUCGGGAAUUUUGCGCAAUGGACGAAAGUCUGACGCAGCAACGCCGCGUGAGGGAUGACGGCCUUCGGGUUGUAAACCUCUUUUAUCAGGGAAGAUAAUGACGGUACCUGAUGAAUAAGUCACGGCUAACUACGUGCCAGCAGCCGCGGUAAUACGUAGGUGACAAGCGUUGUCCGGAUUUACUGGGCGUAAAGAGCGCGCAGGCGGUCGUUCAAGUCGAGUGUGAAAGCCCCCGGCUCAACUGGGGAGGGUCAUUCGAUACUGAUCGACUCGAAGGCAGGAGAGGGUAGUGGAAUUCCCGGUGUAUGGUGAAAUGCGUAAUUCGGGAGGAACACCAGUGGCGAAGGCGACUACCUGGCCUGUUCUUGACGCUGAGGGCGCGAAAGCUAGGGGAGCAAAACGGGAUUAGAUACCCCGGUAGUCCUAGCCGUAAACGAUGGGCACUAAGUAGGGGGGUCUCCCGAAAAAUCUUCUC
rnacentral:rRNA from 1 species